GUAGGGUACAAGCGUUACCCGGAUUUAUUGGGCGUAAAGAGUUCGUAGGCGAUCUGGGUAAGUUAUUCUUUAAAUACCGAGGCUCAACCUCGGGACAGGGAGUAAUACUGCUAGAAUUGAGACACUUAGGGGCUACUGGAACUGUUGGUGUAGGGGUGAAAUCCGUUGAUAUUAAUAGGAACUCCGAGGGCGAAGGCAGGUAGCUGGGAGUGUUCUGACGCUGAGGAACGAAAGCUAGGGGAGCGAAAGGGAUUAGAGACCCCUGUAGUCCUAGCCGUAAACGAUGCUCGCUAGCCUCUUGAGCAAUUGGGAGGCGUAAGCUAACGCGUGAAGCGAGCCGCCUGGGGAGUACGAGCGCAAGCUUA
rnacentral:rRNA from 1 species